GACACAACCACGCAUCGAACCACCACGCUCCAACAGGAUCCGAUCUAACCUAUGAGGUGUAGGAAAAGGGUGAGUACAUGGGAAUACUCAAUAGGAUAUCACAUUAAUGGUGCGAUCCCGAAAAAUAAUUUUAAGACAAGUGUCAGAAUAUCAUACCGUCGCAUAACUUUAAAUCCGGUAAGAGCUCACAUCAUAUCAUAUCAUUUCAUUUCAUUGUACCGGAAUGGCCAUAUCAUUCAUAUCAUAGCAUUAAUAUCAUAACUUUAACUUUCAUAAAUAUGAAAUUCGUCCACAUGUAGCCAAAAUAAUUAAACGGGAAAUUAAAAAAAUACUGCACCUCAUAUCUUACCUUGUAAACUGCUUAAAUUUUGGAAGUCAAAACAAGGUUCACGCUCCAACAAUUUCUUGGAAUAAGAAAACCCAAAAUCACGUUGCAACUAUCUUUUCUUUUCUUUCUGCCUUAUCGUGCAAUAAUAUUACAGUGAAGUGAAUGAA
rnacentral:lncRNA from 1 species